GGAAGAGUCAGUCCGUAGAAACUUGAAAGGGUGGUCAUUUUCUAGGCUCAGACAUCUUCAUAGGAAAUUGGAUUGAGUGUGGUAAUGGUUAAUGUUGUGAUGGUCGCGAAUAGUUUAUGAUGGAUUUUCCCAUCACUUGUCCUGGAAAUCUACCGAAAAAAUUUUAUGUGAAAAAACACCUUUUGAGAUAACGAAAAAUUUCGACACGUUAUAAGAGACUGAACACAAUCUGUCAUUAACUUCACCAGUGAUUGUGCGAAAAAAACAAGCUCGAGAUGGAUAUAUAAAACCGAAGCUCUGAAAGCAAUUUGUAUUGUACAAAAUGAUGUACUACAGGAGUGUUCUAGUGUUGGUGCUGUUAGGCGCGGCGUGGGUUAACGCUCAAAUACUCAGCAAGCUCAAAUUGUGCUCGCAAUCGGAUCCCAAAUUUAAAGAAUGCCUUAAGGACGCGAUUCCCAAGGGAUUGGCCUUGCUGGGUGCAGGUAAGUGAUCUGAUAAGGUACGCUUACUCUCACCUG